AGCAUCACCUCUAUGACUUACUCAUUGUUCUUUGCCCAGUCUGGCCCCUGACUUGAAGUCUUGAAAAUAAAGAAACCAUGCUAGUCUAGUGAAGGGCGAGAGCCAGCUAAUUAGUAGUCCCCUUCCUGCGUAUUCUUUUCUCUCAAUGGCAUAAGGGAAAGAAGCGAUCAAUGGCAGCAGCCCAGCAGUCACUAGAAGCCCCACAGUGUGUGCAAACCUGAUGGAGUCGAGAAAAUUGAGCCACCAAGUUGCAUGUGCUACCAUGAAACCAACCUGACUACCCUGGGCACAUGACCUCACCAGUGUGUCCUAAAACCUCACCU